rnacentral:rRNA from 1 species
UACGGGGGGGGCAAGCGUUGUUCGGAAUUACUGGGCGUAAAGGGCUCGUAGGCGGCCAACUAAGUCGGACGUGAAAUCCCCAGGCUCAACCUGGGAACUGCGUCCGAUACUGGAUGGCUUGAAUUCGGGAGAGGGAUGCAGAAUUCCAGGUGUAGCGGUGAAAUGCGUAGAUAUCUGGAGGAAUACCGGUGGCGAAGGCGGCAUCCUGGACCGACAUUGACGCUGAGGAGCGAAAGCUAGGGGAGCGAACAGG